rnacentral:rRNA from 1 species
AUUGAACGCUGGCGGCACGCUUAACACAUGCAAGUCGAGCGGUAACAUGGGUAGUAGCAAUACUAUCUGAUGACGAGCGGCGGACGGGUGAGUAACACGUAGGAACUUGCCCAGUAGUGGGGGACAACCAAGGGAAACUUUGGCUAAUACCGCAUAUACUCGAGAGAGGAAAGCUGCCAGCAAUGGUGGCGCUAUUGGAGAGGCCUGCGUCCGAUUAGCUAGUUGGUGAGGUAAUAGCUUACCAAGGCGAGGAUCGGUAACUGGUCUGAGAGGACGAGCAGGCACACUGGGACUGAGACACGGCCCAGCCUCCUACGGGAGGUAGCAGUGGGGAAUCUUGGACAAUGGGGGCAACCCUGAUCCAGCGAUGCCGCGUGAGUGAAGAAGGCCUUCGGGUCGUAAAGCUCUUUAGGCUGGGAAGAAGGUUAGUAGUUUAAGAGAUAACUAGCUUGACUGUACCAGCAGAAUAAGCACCGGCAAACUCUGUGCCAGCAGCCGCGGUAA